rnacentral:rRNA from 1 species
UUGGGCAAUGGGGGCAAGCCAGAUCCAGCCAUUCCGCGUGAGUGAUGAAGGUCCUAGGGUUCUAAAGCUCUUUUGUGCGGGAAGAUAAUGGCAGUACCGCAAGAAUAAGCCCCGGCUAACUUCGUUCCAGCAGCCGCGGUAAUACGAAGGGGGCUAGCGUUGCUCGGAAUCACUGGGCGUAAAGGGUGCGUAGGCGGGUCUUUAAGUCAGGGGUGAAAUCCUGGAGCUCAACUCCAGAACUGCCUUUGAUACUGAAGAUCUUGAGUUCGGGAGAGGUGAGUGGAACUGCGAGUGUAGAGGUGAAAUUCGUAGAUAUUCGCAAGAACACCAGUCAGAAGGCGGCUCACUGGCCCGAUAAUGACGGUGAGGCAUGAAAGUGUGGGGAGCAAACAGG